rnacentral:lncRNA from 1 species
CCCUGCGGGCUCUCCUGGAAGCCUUUCUCAUCUCUGCCCUGGAUCACUGUGCUGGCCCCUGGCUGUGCUCUCUGCUUCCCGCUGGUCACUGUGGUGGUCAUCGGUGUGGUUCACAGCACCCCAGUUUUCAUACGAUGGCAGGCUCACACUCCCCACCUGCUUCUGGAGUCCACUGUGGCCAGGCGACACACUUUGACCGGUGAAAUGUGAGUAGAGGCCCAUGCGUCCUUCCAGCCCGAGGCUUCAGGGCCUGUGCGUGAGUCACAGUGCUCUCUGUCACAGUGACCUGCAAUGACUCAAGCAGAGGCGGCUCUGUCCCCAGGUCCCCGGGAAACAAGAGGCGAGCAGAACCCCAGGUAGCUUGUCCUGGCCAUGGAGAAGGAGUUGGUUGCUCUUAUAAACCGGAAGGACCUGGUGGUUAGGUGUUACAGCAGUGUGGCUUCGCGCUGCUCACCGACGCACUCCCUUAGAGUCUCACCUUCGAGCUGUAGCCGGAGGCUCCUUCUAAACUUGAAUUCAGAAGCCCCUGUAAUCUAGAUUGAAAAUCAGCACAGUGGAAGACAGCCUAACUCCAGUCUUGGUGCCAGAAUUGGCCCCAUCCUACCAAACCCUGAAUUUGUUUUGUCCACUAUGAACCACAUGCCAUUUGAACAGCACUUCGGUCACACAGACUCUUCUGUGCUCAAAGUGAGAUUCCAAGACCCAUGCUCUUAAUGAUAACCACACCAUUCCCCACUAUUCUUCAACACUGUGGUUUCUCUUUGGCUGUCUUACCCCACACUCCCUAUAACCAGGAGAGGGAACAUGUCCUGUGACAUGGACACUUGCUGUCGUAAACUGGCCCAACAGAGCCAGUCUACAUGCACCCAGGCUCUCCUGUGGCAGAAGGUGCCAUAAAAUUCUGCCGUUGGUCAGCACAUCCUGGGGCCUGCUAUGAGAGCCCUUUGGAAACGUGGGUCAGGUUGUGGACACUGGAUUCCCCCCACAUUGCAGAGAGCUCGGAGGCUGGUGCUGGGUUGAUUGAGCUCUGGAUGUGCCUUCAAACCCUUCUUUUAAGUUUACUUCAGUUGGGGGGAAGUUUCACUCAGAAGUCAAGCCCCAUGAUUCAUGGCAGCAGAGCCUGCUAAGCGGAGCCAUAGAUCUUGAAUCCUUGGUUUCCAUUCAAGAGUCAAGCGGAAAGGCAUAAGAACUUGAACCUCAUCUCAUGGAAGGAAAAGGUCAAGGGCAGGGCUGG